UACGUAGGCAGCAAGCGUUGUUCGGAGUUACUGGGCGUAAAGGGUGUGUAGGCGGUUGUUUAAGUUUGGUGUGAAAUCUCCCGGCUCAACUGGGAGGGUGCGCCGAAUACUGAAUGACUAGAGUGCGGGAGAGGAAAGUGGAAUUCCUGGUGUAGCGGUGAAAUGCGUAGAUAUCAGGAGGAACACCGGUGGUGUAGACGGCUGUCUGGACCGUAACUGACGCUGAGACACGAAAGCGUGGGUAGCAAACAGG
rnacentral:rRNA from 1 species